AGUGCAUCAAUCACUGCUGAGCUCGACAAAGCCUUUGCAUUGUAUUCGUUAAAAUUUAAUUGACUGAACACAAGUGCUUCUUGGCGUCUCUGCAUGGCUGUUUUUGGCAUCAUACGUGACUCACGCCUCAUUUACGACUCAUUCUGAUGGGCACCUUGAGUCAUAGUUGCCUAACACCUUUUGAUUGUGUUUCCUGUAUUAAAGUCUGAGCUCGGUGUUUCAUAAUGGCCAUUAUCAAAGAUUGUAUUUCUAAAUUGGGGCCGUGGGGACUUCCUCCCCCAGCAGGAGCAGCUCUGAUGCUCUCCCAGGGGAAAUGAAGGAAUAAGCAAUAGACAGAUCGACAAAAGAGACUGAAGCAUGGCUCAGGGAUGGAAUUAAAUAUUACAGCCUGCCGCUGAGAAAGCCGUAGCAUGAUUUCAUUUCAUUACAAUGUGCAUACACAAGCUUACAGUAUGUGCUGUACAUCGAUUGUUUCACGAUUACAGCAGGCAUCAAAAUUAAACUGAUAUAGUCUGUAUUAAAUGACCUUCUUAAGUGAUGAGGGUCUCCAAUCAUACCAGCAUUCCUCCUGUGACUAAUCUGGGACAUAAGUGAAGAGACACCCUUUUAUAAGCUCAUGAGAAGAUUUAUCAAGGAUGGUGGGGGUAGUUGUCCUUCAGGAGUUACAUGCCACAUGAUAUAUUAUGAAGAAAAUUAUUGAAAUUGACCCUGUAGAGAUGCCACUUCUGAUUAUUGCCCCUCUGGGCAUUUUUGAUUGUCUUCUACCUUCUCAAAGAAAGUUAAUGAGCACGAAUGUUGUUAGGAAAGGUGGUUUGUUAUUUUUCAUUUGAUUUGGUGUCUCCAUUUAGAUUCUAAAUGAGUCUGAAAGACACAAAAGGACUUUUUCCUUUUUUUUUGCUCAGGUUAAUGACUGCAAAUUUCGAAGGUGUUUGAAAACAGCCUAAGAUCAGGGCUUAUCAAUGUCUAACUUGAUCAAAUCUUCUUCUUUUUGGGGUUUAUCAGAAUUUCCCCCCCUUACCAACUUUAAAAAGAAAGAGUCAUUCCCCUGAGAUGAAAAAAAAAAGAUCAAAAGAGGUCCCCAGAAACUCUUUUCCUGUUUUAACUUUCAAAGAAAUACGUUAAUUAAUACAUUAGUUGAUAAAAUAAUAUAAUACAGCUCUUCCAAUAAUAUUCCAACACUUUAAAAGUAACCAAACUUAGUUAUCAAUGGUAUUAAAAACUAAAACAGCAUGAGAGUACCCAAUAAAAUGCUCAAAUUCGAGUUAAUCUAAAUUUAUGAUCUAUGAUGAUUUAAUCCUGUAAUUUUUGCAUUACAGGGAUGCAAAAAUCAAAUUUGCAUCCCUGUAAAGUAUCUAAUAAGUGUGGAUGGAGAUUAAAAGUUUUUAAUUUUAUGACUCUUGGAGAAAAAAAGAACUUAAUCCAAACAAAAAAUACUGAUACAGAAAAGCAGAGAUCUCAGGAUUGAACCUUGGGGAACACCAAAAGUUAAAACCUUUGCUCAUGAUAGAUUCUAGCUAAGAAAUCGGUAUUUGAAAUGGAUUUAUUUUAACUAUAUUGCAGCUAUGGUUUUGCAACUAAAAUAUUUAAAUCCCUGCCAUUAUUUUAAAGCUCCUUUGCUAACAUUUAACCAAAUAUAUAACCUUUUCAUUGGAACGAACAGAGGCAUGUUUACCUUGUCUGAACGUUUUCAAAUCAUUUUUCAAUAAUUCUGAUCAAAUCAGCUCAGGACCAAGAUUUAAAGGGGUUAUGUCUUUAAAACCCAAAGCAGGUGAAAGCAUCGUCCCUGUUGGAGAGUCAUCCUUUUUUUUCUGGACUAAAUUAUUAACACAAAAAUACAAAGGGUGCUCAUUGUCUGGACUGCAAUUUACAAUAUUAAUGCCAGUAACCAUUGAUGCCCAUCAUUUGAAGAUUUUUGGAGCUUUAAUUGAAUUCAGGAAGCAAAUGUGUCAGCAUAGACAGUGUCUGAAAAGGUAAAUGUGUUCUGGCGCUGUGGUAAUGCUACAGCAGGUACUAACUGCAGAAAUUAAAUGAGAUGACAGAUUUUUUUUUUUUAAUUUUCUGUUUUUGUGGGCCUUAAUUUAGUGUUUUAAUGUGGCUAAAUGGAUCCUAAUGGCCCAGAAUUGAUCACAAUGAUGAUAUUGUUGUAGCAAGUUCCACUUUCAAGUGAUGAUUCAUUUAUAGAGAUUAAUUACUAUGCAAGAUUAUUGAUUUAUAAAUAUCCAUGAUAGGACUAUUAUUCUAAAAGAAGGUGUCAUUUUACCAGCUUAUUUAUCAGAGUAUCUUAUUUUCAAUUUUGUCAACAAAAAAGAUUUUCACUCUGUGAGGUAAAAUUCAUGGGUUAUAUUUUGUCCGCUACUGCUCCAAAGAAAGAAUGAGAAAAAACAAUCCUAGCACUUUUUUAAUAAUGGUGACUGAAUAAUGCAUUAGAGCGAAUCCCACAUGAAAUUUGUGGAGGGCAUGUCUUGGACUGCGAGUCGGUGGAGUGUAUCUGCGUGUGUCUCUCUCUCUCUCUCUCUCUCUCACUGAGGGGUUUUGGUGCGGUUCCAUAUGAGGGCAUCUUUUUCUUAGAUGCUGCAGGCAAUCUUUGUUCAUUCAACUGCAUAAUGACAGAGUAAAGACAACAGGGGAUCUAUGGCCUGGAGGAGAGGAGAACACAAGAAUUCAGAAACACAGAUUUGAUGAUACCUCUCCCACAUGGGUCGGGGUGUUUGGUUUUAGUGUUAGCUCGCAGGAUAAAGACAAGGAGAUACUAACAAGAUAUGAUGUCUUUCUAUGAGAGUGAGUCAUUACCCUUCAUGCUGGCGAGUUUGCCUGAUAAAGUGAGUCAGACCGUACUGUGGAAUUAACUAUUUGUAGUUAGUAAAGCAGUUCGUUGUCUUAUAGGGCUGGGCGAUAAACCGAAAAUUUACCGAUUCCGAAAUUUACGUCCAUAACCGAUGUCACUAUUUGGUGUCAAAAAAGUAAAUAAAUAAAAGUUGGUUUUGGAUGUGUGUAGGUAGUAGGUUACGGUCUCAUGUCCCUUUAAGACGCUGUCCUACGUCAGAGACAAGACUCCACCCCAUCCAGUCUGUGAUGAAGAGGGAAAGACAGGUGAGGAGAUGGAGGACGGUUCAAAAGUUGGAGCGGCUGGAGCAGCAGCUGAAGUAGACGAAGUAAAUUUGGGAGGCAGCUUGUGGAGUGGUUAUCUUCCAUUUAUUGUUAUCAAGGUAAACUGCUCAAUAUAUCAUCAUAUUGCUUAAAGGCCAUAUUGCCCAGCCCUAUUAUGUUAGAUCUAGUUUAACUUCAUUUAAUCCCACAAGCUACCUCAGCUACUAGCUCACUUUUUUCCCAGCAGUCCUGAAAUUGAUCUGUUCUUACCAUUAGUUGGCUGGUUUAGUCAAAUUCACAUGAUUGCAAGUAAUUGCUUUAAAUGAAGUUAAAUUAGAGGUUAAAAUUUUGGGGGGUUUUGGGGAGUGAGAUAAACUGGGUUCCUACACAGCUGGAAUUUCCAUACUUUUCCAUACCCUACUUUUUAAAUUAUUUUUGGAAAUACCUACUUUUCUAUUUUAGAAAACAGUAUUUUUGAACUUUGGUAAUAGUCUGGAAGCAUUAAGUAUUUUUCCGUACUUUAUUUUUCAUUUUUCAUACCUUUUAAGACCUGGAAAUUGAUCAAACUAUUUUUAUCCAUACUUGCGUAGGAACCCUGGAUUAAUCAACACAGUGUGGAAGCUCAGAGUUGCCAAUAAAAAGGCCAACAAUAUCUGUGAGCUGAAACUGUCAAGUACAGUAAGGGUCACAUACUGUUAAGGAGCUCUUAGUAGCUUUAGAUGUCCAUCUGUCUGUCGUCCGAGUUACAGCAGAUGUCACGGACAAGCUGUGUGCAACUUAGCCAAGACGAAGCUUUACAUGUUUAUAAUAGAGGACUGUAAUAUAGUGAUGUUUAAUUAAAUGUGUUCAAAGCAUCAAAACGUAAAAUGUAAACUUUGCAAAAUAUGUGGCGCACACCACUUUCAGGCCUCUCUUUGUGCCUAUGCUGUGUUUAUAAAGGUGACACUUUCUGUUAUUUCCGUCCCAGCUGGUUUAUUCCUCUAUAAAUUCUCUGCUUGUUGUCAUAGGGACUCUCAAUUUAGAGAGCUGAUGAAAAAAUACUUUUGCUUUGAGUUACUCCGUAGUAAUAAGGUCGUCUUUUCAGCAGUGGAACACGACAACCUUCCUAUUGUCACUCUACACCACACAGUGAAUGGAAAUCGCAUUUCCAGCUCUCUCUUUGAAUAUUACAGAGCACAACACUACAUGACAAUUUCCCAUCCUGCAGUAGUUCUGUCUAAGUUAAAUCACCAACAGUACUUGGAUUUAUGGUCAAAUGUGGACAUCAUGCUUCAGAAUAAUGAUUCAGAUUUUUGGCCUAUUCCUCGUUUUGAUUUUUUUCGAUGUAAAUUAUUACUGAUGGGUGAAAGGGUUUGCAAAACUUAAUCAUUUUUGCCAGCAUGUAGGUGUGACGCAGGUUUGUGUCAGAGCUCAGAAACAGUUGCCCAAGAUAGAGAGAAGAAAAAAGUCUAAUUCUGAGAUAGAUAGAUAGAGGGGCCGGGCUCGAUCAGGAUUGAAGCGGUGGUAGGAGGUUGGCGUGAGUUCCCAUUUAGAAACAGAAAACCGCUGAGGAGCACCUGUCGUUACAAUCUGUCCACCUCCACAGUGCAGCUCUGUCAGCCUGCACAGGCAGUGGCUGCUUCUAAUCUGCGGUUGUGUUGUCUGGUCAGAAAUGUAGGUAUUUCUACCUCUCUGCAUCACAUCACCUCUGCAUUAAAAAAAAAUCUCACUCUCACAUCUCUGUCUCUGAAGAAUCUAUAUCUGCUUUAUUUUUUGUUGUAGAGUGCCGUGAUAUUGUUUCCAAAUUCAGCAUGUUCAUCUUUCAAAAGACAUGUUUCAAGACCAGUUAUGGCACAGCUGCACAUCGAAGGCUAUCCUACCUCUUACGCUCCUUCAAAUGCAGCAGAGAAAUGUGCCCAUCUGUGAAGCGGCUGCAUCCUUGUUUCGAAGGCCAGAGCUGUUUAAACAAACAAAGGUCUGUUUCCUCGGUUAGUCACAAGGCUGGAUAAAUUUGGUGUCACUCUAUUGUCAUUGUGGUGAAAGGGGUCGAUUCCUGUUCUCCAUUCUGGCCAAUCAAUGAGUCAUUUCCUUCUUCUUUGUCAGUGUUUGUACGAGACAACACUGAUACAAACCUGGUGGGAUCCAGAUGAUUUUGUUAUUUGACUAAGUGAACCAACGACAUGAAACUGCAGUCAUGUUCAUAUUUCAUCCCCCGACCAUCAUGUGUGAAAACGACCUGAGUUCCUUCCCUUCGGUUACCUAAAUAGCACUAACCUUCACUUCCAUUACUGCUCUCUCCCUCCUGCUCAGAGAUUCAUGAGCCAGCCCACUUGCCAAAAUCUACAGGAGUCACUGUAAUCACAGGAAUUUGAGAACAAUAUGAGGAUAUUAUGAAUGCUUUAAUGCAGCAAUAUCAGCGUAUUAUUGUGAAAACCAAUAAUUGCGACGGUUUGCUACAUUGAUGUUUUUCAU